GCUGGAAACCAGGAUAGGCAUUUUCCACGCAUGAGGGAGAUGAGAAAGGCGGAGCAAUCUGCCGCUUAUGGAUGGACCUGCGUCGCAUUAGCUAGUUGGAGUGGUAAAGGCACACCAAGGCGACGAUGCGUAGCCGACUGAGAGGGUGAGCGGCCACACUGGGACUGAGACACGGCCCAGACUCCUACGGGAGGCAGCAGUAGGGAAUCUUCCGCAAUGGACGAAAGUCUGACGGAGCAACGCCGCGUGAGUGAAGAAGGUUUUCGGAUCGUAAAGCUCUGUUGCCAGGGAAGAAGAGCAAGGAGAGGAACUGCUCCUUGAGUGACGGUACCUGAGAAGAAAGCCCCGGCUAACUACGUG
rnacentral:rRNA from 1 species